rnacentral:rRNA from 1 species
UAAUACGGAGGAUCCGAGCGUUAUCCGGAUUUAUUGGGUUUAAAGGGUGCGUAGGCGGACUAGUAAGUCAGUGGUGAAAUCCUGCAGCUUAACUGUAGAAUUGCCGUUGGUACUGUUAGUCUUGAGUACAUUUGAGGUAGGCGGAAUGUGGUGUGUAGCGGUGAAAUGCAUAGAUAUACCACAGAACACCGAUUGCGAAGGCAGCUUACUAAACUGUAACUGACGCUGAGGCACGAAAGCGUGGGUAUCAAACAGGAUUAGAUACCCUGGUAGUCCACGCUGUAAACGAUGAUUACCGGUUGUUUGCGAUACACCGCAAGUGACUGAGCGAAAGCAUUAAGUAAUCCACCUGGGGAGUACGUCGGCAACGAUG